AAAAAAAAGAAGAAAAAAAAUCUUUCCAAACAUCUAACCUAAGACCCAAAAAAAAAAAAAAAAAUCUUUUCAAAUUUUUACUUAAUUAUCUUAAUUUUGUAGCUAUUUAUUUCUAUAUUUGUAAAAGAUAUGAAUAUUUAUGCUAAUAGUAUAAAUCUUGAGAGAAAAAAUUUAAUUUAAUAGCCGAAUUUUUUAUCCCGAAUUUUUAAUUGGUAAACGUAUAAUAUCCGAAUAAAUCACGUAUCCGAAUAAUUGAUGAAUCUGUUUUUUAGCCGUAUUUUUCAACGAAUUUAAAAAUUAAAAGACGAAUUUUAUCCGAAUUAUACCCGUACCGAAUUUUUGCCGAAUCCGAAUUAACUAACUAUGUGUUAGACACUAAU
rnacentral:lncRNA from 1 species